rnacentral:rRNA from 1 species
UACAGAGGUCCCAAGCGUUGUUCGGAUUCACUGGGCGUAAAGGGUGCGUAGGCGGUCGGGUAAGUCUGAUGUGAAAUCUCACAGCUUAACUGUGAAACUGCAUUGGAUACUAUCCGGCUAGAGGAAUGGAGGGGAGACUGGAAUACUUGGUGUAGCAGUGAAAUGCGUAGAUAUCAAGUGGAACACCAGUGGCGAAGGCGAGUCUCUGGGCCGAUACUGACGCUGAGGAGCGAAAGCGUGGGGAGCGAACAGG